rnacentral:rRNA from 1 species
AACGAACGCUGGCGGCAUGCCUAACACAUGCCAGUCGAACGAGACCUUCGGGUCUAGUGGCGCACGGGUGCGUAACGCGUGGGAACCUGCCCUUAGGUUCGGAAUAACUCCCCGAAAGGGGUGCUAAUACCGGAUAAUGUCUUCGGACCAAAGAUUUAUCGCCUUUGGAUGGGCCCGCGUUGGAUUAGCUAGUUGGUAGGGUAAAAGCCUACCAAGGCGACGAUCCAUAGCUGGUCUAAGAGGAUGAUCAGCCACACUGGGACUGAGACACGGCCCAGACUCCUACGGGAGGCAGCAGUGGGGAAUAUUGGACAAUGGGCGAAAGCCUGAUCCAGCAAUGCCGCGUGAGUGAUGAAGGCCUUAGGGUUGUAAAGCUCUUUUACCCGGGAUGAUAAUGACAGUACCGGGAGAAUAAGCGCCGGCUAACUCCGUG